rnacentral:rRNA from 1 species
CAGCCGCCGCGGUAAUACCGGCGGCCCGAGUGGCGGUCACUAUUAUUGGGCCUAAAGCGUCCGUAGCCGGGCUGGUAAGUCCUCCGGGAAAUCUGGUCGCUUAACGAUCAGACUUCCGGAGGAUACUGCUGGCCUAGGGACCGGGAGAGGCCGAGGGGAUUCCCGGGGUAGGGGUGAAAUCCUGUAAUCCCGGGAGGACCACCUGUGGCGAAGGCGCUCGGCUGGAACGGGUCCGACGGUGAGGGACGAAGGCCAGGGGAGCGAACCGGAUUAGAUACCCGGGUAGUCCUGGCUGUAAACGAUGCGGACUAGGUGUCGGGCAAGCUAAGGGCUUGUCCGGUGCCGCAGGGAAGCCGUUAAGUCCGCCGCCUGGGGAGUACGGCCGCAAGGCUGAAACUUAAAGGAAUUGGCGGG